UUUGACUGCUUUUCACAAUUUUAAGCAGUUCCUGCACUGAAUGUAAGGAGAAUUUUUUAGUAUCAUUGCCCUACUUUCUUCGAAUAACUAUUUCCUGUCAAAAACAAAGAAAACAAGGUUUGAUAUGCUUUUGAUAAUUUUGAAGUGGAAGUUGGGUAAUGGGUAGAGAUUGUUAAAACUCUAUUUUUAUUCUUUUUUAAAGUUCUUUGUAGCUGUUUCUCUGUUUUCUAUAAAUGUCUGAUUAUAUAUCUGAGCUUGUUUGUUCACAGUUGACGGCUGAAUAUUCUACCUCUGUGUUCUUAUCAGUUUCUUCAGUGAAGUGCCUGGUUCCUUGUAAAUCUAACGUGGAAGAGGGGGGGACCUAAGCUUGCCUGCCUUGUAUUGAAGGGUGUCAGUGCAGGGAAGGGAGAUAGGAAGGGAAGGCUGGUUGUUUUUUUGUUUUCUUUUCCCACAGAUCUGCAUUUAAAUGAUGAUGUUUUGGAAUACAGACCAUCUGGCUAGUUUCAUUUCUCAGAUUCAUUUUCAUGAAGGUCUCAGUAUAUGCAACGGUAGAGAAGCUCAUUUGGACAAUCUUCUUCAGACAUCCUCAUUCAAUGCUGUCUUACCUGUGUGGGAAGUGCUCUUGAUUAACUUUAUUUUGGUGGAAAGGACAUCAACAUAAAUCCAAUAUCCUUUUUAUCAGUUGCUUCUGCAGCUAGCGUUGGUGGUCAGCGCACAGCCCUGCUGGCCAGGAACAAAGAGCACCUAGCACCAAAGGAAGGCAAGAACUUUGCAAAUAAGAAAGGAAGAGUUGUUACCUUGCAUUUGUCUUCAGCUUUCCAGAAGCUAAGUUUAGUUUGAUACAAGUUAAAUAAUACUUCUUUUCAUGCCCUUUGGUCAAAUAGUUGUUCUUCUGUGCCUGAGUGGACUCGGAUACUAUUCCACGUUGAAAGUAAAACUUAUUUGUGUUUUGUUUUGUUUUUAAGGUAGGAGUAAAAGAUACUCCUGGAACUGCUGGAAUGUGUAGGAACAAAAUGAAUGGUGCUAGACUGACAUGUAGGCAUAUUGGUGGAGGCAUUUGUUGUUUUACAGUUUUGUGAAAUGGCAUGUAUAUAUAUUUUUUGUUUAUCUAUCUAUUUAUUUAUUUUUGCUGUGGUUUUCAGAGGCACGCAGUAAAUGAUUUAUCUACCCUACUGAUCCCCUGUGCUGGCAGAGCUGUAGCAUAGUGCACUGACUGGGAAGCCUUAAGUUCUAGGCUGGCCUUGGAUGCUUGACUCCAGAUCCUCGGGAGGAGGGGAGCUAUGAAAAUGCUAUCUGGAGCUGCUGGGCUUUUGGAAUCCUCUUCUGAGAAGCAUACAGAUGGCCAGAAAACAGCACUUGUGCAAAUAGGAAGAAGAUGGCGUUGGUGAUGUUUCCACCUCUGGCGGACUGGGAUGAAGGUCCUUAGUGGAAAAUUGAGACAUAUGCACAGUCCCUCCAGUAACAAGCUUUGGCCGUGAGAUGCUUAGCUUCUCCAGGAUGUGGCCCCUGCAUUCAGCUGCACAAAGAGGCUGAACACAACCCUUGCAUCAGUGAAGUGUCACAAGUCUUCAGCCACAGUGUUGAACCUGGGAGGAAAGAAACAGCCCCCCACGUUCCAAUCACAGAAUAGCUAAACAGAGUAUCUGAGAUGAAUGGACUGAAGUAAAAGCAGGACAUCUUUAGACAGAUUUAUCCGAGCCACAGUAAAGCAGCUUGCUGGGAGCCUGAGCUGUGUGAGCCGGUUUUGUUUGAAGUUGUCAUAGCCUGUGGCUACUCUUUAUCAACUGUUAUCUAACUAGAAGCAAAUAAAUACCCACACUGCUUCUUUCUCAUUACGCUGUUGGCCCUCAGGAGGUAUUUCCUCAGUCAGGAAAGUGACCUGCCUUAAAUAGCAGAAGCAGUGAUUGAUGUGCUAGCGAAGAAGUCUUUCCGCUCAGGAGGCGGC
ensembl:lncRNA